GGGGAUGUAGCUCAGUGGUAGAGCGCACGCUUUGCAUGUAUGAGGCCCCGGGUCUCAACUCCCGGCAUCUCUA